GGUGCAACCAAUUACUACAAUAAACAUACUACAACCAACAUACACUUCAAAGCUCCAUAUAGCUAGGAGUUCAAGUUUUGGUGUAGUCAACUACAGCACCCUCAAAGUGAACAGUCGAUGCAUUUCAGGUAAAGAAUUAAAUAUACUACUACAGCUAUGAGUAUGUCAUUGAUAAGAAGGUAGAUAUCCUAGUGACUAUUCAUGAUU
rnacentral:lncRNA from 1 species